rnacentral:rRNA from 1 species
GUAAUAGUUAUGUUCUUGAAACCCAUAGAAUUUGGCGGUAUUUUAUUCUUUUUAGAGGAACCUGUCCUGUAAUCGAUAGUCCACGAGGUUAUUUACUUAUUUUUGUUUUCAGUUUGUAUACCUCCGUCAUAAGAGUAUCUUUUUAGAGAUAAUAUUCUAUUAAUAUUAAAUAUAAUAUGUCAGGUCAAGGUGCAAUUUAUGAAUAAGGAGAGAUGGGUUACAAUAAAUUUAUUUAUAUGGAUUGUAAUAAUUAUUAUUAUAUGAAGGUGGAUUUAAAAGUAAAAUUAAUUUCUUAUUAAUUUGAUUUUAGCUCUAAAAUAUGCACACAUCGCCCG